CCUACGGGUGGCAGCAGUGGGGAAUAUUGCACAAUGGGGGAAACCCUGAUGCAGCGACGCCGCGUGAGUGAGGAAGUAUUUCGGUAUGUAAAGCUCUAUCAGCAGGGAAGAAAAUGACGGUACCUGAUUACGAAUCCCCGGCUAACUACGUGCCAGCAGCCGCGGUACUACGUAGGGGGCAAGCGUAAUCCGGAUUUACUGGGUGUAACGGGAGCGUAGACGGCAGCACAAGUCUGGAGUGAAAUGCCGGGGCUUAACCCCGGAACUGCCUUUGAAACUGUGAAGCUAGAGUGCAGGAGAGGUAAGUGGAAUGCCUAGUGUAGCGGUGAAAUGCGUAGAUAUUAGGAGGAACACCAGUGGCGAAGGCGGCUUACUGGACUGUAACUGACGUUGAGGCUCGAAAGCGUGGGGAGCAAACAGGAUUAGAUACCCCUGUAGUC
rnacentral:rRNA from 1 species